GAUGAACGCUGGCGGCGUGCCUAAUACAUGCAAGUCGAGCGAACAGACGAGGAGCUUGCUCCUCUGACGUUAGCGGCGGACGGGUGAGUAACACGUGGAUAACCUACCUAUAAGACUGGGAUAACUUCGGGAAACCGGAGCUAAUACCGGAUAAUAUAUUGAACCGCAUGGUUCAAUAGUGAAGGACGGUUUUGCUGUCACUUAUAGAUGGAUCCGCGCCGCAUUAGCUAGUUGGUAAGGUAACGGCUUACCAAGGCAACGAUGCGUAGCCGACCUGAGAGGAUGAUCGGCCACACUGGAACUGAGACACGGUCCAGACUCCUACGGGAGGCAGCAGUAGGGAAUCUUCCGCAAUGGGCGAAAGCCUGACGGAGCAACGCCGCGUGAGUGAUGAAGGUCUUCGGAUCGUAAAACUCUGUUAUUAGGGAAGAACAAAUGUGUAAGUAACUAUGCACGUCUUGACGGUACCUAAUCAGAAAGCCACGGCUAACUACGUG
rnacentral:rRNA from 1 species